AUGUAGAAAAGUAGGGCAUCAUUGUAUUUGGUUGAGAGGAGGGUAUUUGCUAAAUCACCACCUAUACCCUUCUUUUCUUCUCUUGAAGACCAAUUUUGAUGAAAAGUAAAGGGAGAGUUGAGAAGCAUUGGGAGCGUUUGGAUUGAGAGUGAUGGGAAAGGCCCUCGUAAAAAAAAAAAAGAAAAAAGAAAGAGAAAUCCUUUCCUAUUCCUCCCAUACCGAAGGUUUCCGAUCUCUCCUCCUUUAUCUUCUCUCUUAGACAAAUUCUCUUUUUUACAUAGAUCAGCAUCUAAAGGCUUCGUUCAUUGAAGAGCUAAUAAAUCUCCAUUUUGAAGACCUAAGAAUUUUCGGAAAAGGUUCAAGGAAGGAAAAUCCCAGAAUUGAUUGUGAUAAUAGAUGGGGAAAAUAUUUUAUUGUGUAAUCUUCAUAUUUUAUUUGUGAUUUGAGGGUGGGAGAUUGAUUAACAUCACACCAACAUGAUUUCAUGAUCUAAUAAAAAAUGAAUCUCUCUCUUUUACACUAAUCUAGAUCUCUAGAUCUCUAUCUACUUCAACAAUUUGUCUAACAUGAUUUCUUUGAUCUAAUAUACAAAUCUUUUUUUUCCCAA